CGUGCAAGCCAGAUGAUCGCGUGAACGAUCCCGCAAGGGUGUUCAUGAGGAAAGUCCGAGCUCCACAGGGCAGGGUGCCGGGUAACCCCCGGUGGAGGCAACUCCAAGGAAAGUGCAACAGAAAGGAAACCGCCUUGCGAUGCAAGGUAAGGGUGAAAGGGUGAGGUAAGAGCUCACCGGCGGCCAGGUAACUGUCCGGCUAUGUAAACCCCACCUGGUGCAAGACCAAGUUAGGACGCGAAGCAGUAGCCCGCUGUGUCCAAUGGUAGGUCGCUUGAGCUUUUCGGUAACGGAAAGCCUAGAUAGAUGAUCAUCUAAUACAGAACUCGGCUUAUAGGCUUGGACGCUCC
rnacentral:RNase_P_RNA from 1 species